GAUGAACGCUGGCGGCGUGCCUAAUACAUGCAAGUCGAGCGAACAGAUAAGGAGCUUGCUCCUUUGACGUUAGCGGCGGACGGGUGAGUAACACGUGGGUAACCUACCUAUAAGACUGGGAUAACUUCGGGAAACCGGAGCCAAUACCGGAUAAUAUUUCGAACCGCAUGGUUCGAUAGUGGAAGAUGGUUUUGCUAUCACUUAUAGAUGGACCCGCGCCGUAUUAGCUAGUUGGUAAGUAACGGCUUACCAAGGCGACGAUACGUAGCCGACCUGAGAGGGUGAUCGGCCACACUGGAACUGAGACACGGUCCAGACUCCUACGGGAGGCAGCAGUAGGGAAUCUUCCGCAAUGGGCGAAAGCCUGACGGAGCAACGCCGCGUGAGUGAUGAAGGUCUUCGGAUCGUAAAACUCUGUUAUUAGGGAAGAACAUACGUGUAAGUAACUGUGCACGUCUUGACGGUACCUAAUCAGAAAGCCACGGCUAACUACGUG
rnacentral:rRNA from 1 species